rnacentral:rRNA from 1 species
CGACCGGCGCACGGGUGCGUAACGCGUAUGCAACCUACCAUCAACAGGGGGAUAACACUGAGAAAUUGGUACUAAUACCCCGUAAUAUCUCAUGCGGCAUCGCAUGGGGUUGAAAACUCCGGUGGUUGAUGAUGGGCAUGCGUUGUAUUAGCUGGUUGGUGAGGUAACGGCUCACCAAGGCGACGAUACAUAGGGGGACUGAGAGGUUAACCCCCCACAUUGGUACUGAGACACGGACCAAACUCCUACGGGAGGCAGCAG